CAGAUUGGGCUGUGCCCUACUCUUCAUACAAUGGUAUUUGGCUUACCUAAUAAUAACCCUUUUAAAGAUUUACUUGGUCUAUGGGUUCUCCAUCUGACUCUCUUACUUUUGACUUUAGUAUGAAGCCUGGGAGAAAAAAACAAAGAUGGUCCAAAUGCUUUGACUUUAUCUAAUGUGAAGUUGAGCAGAUAGCAGGUCUCAAUAAUCAGCCUUGGAUUCCUGGUACAUACCACCCAGAUACCAUUCAUCCCCAACUGUUUUUAAGAUUCUGAUGAUACUAUGGGCCACUUCCGAAGGACUGUCUUGCUUGAUUGACUCUCAGAAUGUUAGUGUGUUCUCAUUCUAAAGGUAAUAAAUCCAGCAUAGUAACCACAAACUAUUUAGGAAAACUAUUGUUACAUUAAAUGAAACUUUUUUAUACCUCCAAUUAAACCAUGUGGAUACUGCCUGGAGAAUAGCAUCUGACUCAUCAGGGAAUGAUGACAUAGCCAUUUCUUCAGAAGAACUUACACUCUUUAUAAAGGAGACUAUAGCCUUUGUCUUUCUCCCAACUCUCCCCUGAGAGGAGCUGAAAGGUUGACUAAGAGAAGACAGAUUGGAUGUGCCUUGCACAUUUCCAAAGAAAGAUGCUUUCUAAAUAAACCUAAGUCUGAGUGUUGAUGGAAGCUUUCUCUUAUACACAGGGUUAGAGGACUUUUACUGCACACCAUCCUUGGUGUUCACUAAGAAGACAUGGAUUCUUCAUGGGCUCAUGAGUACCCACAUGACUGAGAAGAGUCGACACACACUGGCAGGGAUGUAUGUUGUUCUUUCCCCUCCUCCUGGCAAAGACAAUGUGUUAUAUUUUUUCAGAGAACUUAUUAGUUCUUGCUUAAUAUCAUCCCUCUUUUUCACUGAAAACCUUGAUUAGAAUCCCAGGCAAAGCUUUAGACUUUCAAUGAGGAGAUCAUUAAAAAAUAACUAAUUUCUAAAUGGCUCUCAAAACAUCACAUUAUGGCUAAUUGGCAGCACAAUCACAGGGCACUGAGACACAAGGUCUGAUCUGUCAGUUACUUUAUGAUUUCCAAGUUGAGAGCUGACUUCUUAGAGAAGAUAGGAAUUGUGGAGCUCCUGGAAGUGCCCCUUGGUCAGAGCAUGUGAACUUUUUGGAGGGUGACCAAGGAUUCCUUGAAAGGAAUCAUGUGGGCUUCUGUCAUGAGUUUUCAUAACUUAUUCUCCACACGUACUGCAGUAGGAUAAUCAAAAUUCUGACCCUUACUCUAGAAGUCCUUUUUAGAAUCCAAUCAUUAGAACAGAAACUGGUGUCUGGAAUCCUGUUUUCUAACCUACAGGACAGGGUUAAAGAGAGACUGGGCUUGGAUUCCUGGAUAUACAGUGCUAUAUCUCCUCAUUUCCUAUGGAGGUCCUAAGUUCACCUUUCUGUUCCUGAGGAAGAACUGGGUCUUGAUGAGACAACAGUCUCCAGCUAAAAUGCCACGCCUGAUCAUGAGUAGUAUCAAGCAGUAGACUUCUUGGGAAAAGAGUGAAAUGGCCAGUUGUCGGUGGCUAGAGAGGAAGCUCCCUAGAGGACUUGAGAGUGACUUCUGAAGCCAUUUCACUGUACAACCCACACAGAGACAGAGGAGCCAGGAAGUUCAAGUUCACAUCCUGAUCCCUCCUCAUUCACAACAGCACAAUGACAGCAGUAACAUGAAAGCCACCACAGUGACAAUAAGAAUGGUUUCCAAGGUAAAAUGAGAAUUGUAUGCCAGGUGUCCCACACAGCAAUUAAUAGAUAUUGUCAGAUGGGAUCUUCCCCAACAUGAAAAACAGCCUAGGCUCAUUCAGUUAACACUGAGAUCAGGAUGGUGAGAGGCAUCUCUGAGCCUUCAUUCUCAUCCCUUCAUUACAAAGCCAUGACCUCACUCCGAUAUGAUCCUGCUGGCCUACACCUUGACGGCAAGAAUAAUCUAAAGUGUGACCCCUCUCAACUGGAAAAAUACUUUCAUAUUUCGUUCCUCUACGAACAAUGAAUGUUAGAAAGAAGAAGCAGAACUAUCUACAGUAGAAUAUGUGGGUGCAUGAGAUGGUGUGAUGGGACACUGUGUACUCUUCACAUAGUUUCCCAAAAGGAAGGUGUCUCUUCUGAGAAGGCAGAGCUGUCUGAGAAGACUGGGAUACUUGGAGUAAAGUGGAAGAAAUCUUUUAUUUAAUUAUUCAAAGAAAAUAAUGGACUUCUGCUAGCCCCUACCAUUGGGCAUCAAAGGGCCUUAUUUUGGAAGAGAAUAUCUCAGUAAAGUAAUAAUGGAUUUUUACGGUGCUAGGGCUUUAUGACAGAUGUGAUGCAAAAGAUACAUUGAAGAGUUAAAGAAUCAGAUGUUUGGACACCAUAUUUCUGGCCAGGCCAGAGAUUGGAAAAUACUUUCUCCAAAGGUCCACAUAGAAGGUUCUGAAGAAGGUGCUUUCCUUGCAAACAUGAAGAACUUCAUUUCGUCCCCAGAACAUGGGAAAAAACAUAAGGUGGGCAUCAUAUGCAUUUUUAAUCUUAGUGUCAGGCAGCUGCAGACAGACAGAAUCUGAAGCAUGCUGUUCAGCUAGUCUCCCUUACUAAUCCAUUUCUAAGCCAGUGAUACAUCACUUGAGGUUCACUUCUGCCUCUACACAUCUGUGCCCACAUAUACACAUAGAUCACACACACAGACAGUAAGAAUUUGGGGCUUUGAGGCCCAUGCAUAAACAAAUGAUCAUGGUUAUUUCCCAGCAAAAUUUUACCAAGGUCCCAGCAUGUUCUGCUGUUCCUCUGCUAGGGAUCAUAGAGGCAAAGCAUGGCCUUUCUACAAAAUGGUACAGUCUCUGGAUAGGGCUUUGCUUUAGGAGUAGAAACAGACUUUCAACCUCAGUUGUUCUUCCUCUCUGUGAGAUGUAUAAGCAUCUCAUGUCUGAUUCUCCAAGAUAGAACUAAGAAGUUGUAGAGAAAGAAAUUUCUGGUACUAAAUUUCAACAGGGUACUAAAGGCCCUCUACCAGGCAGCUUUGCACAAAGGGCAUAACUCGAAGAGUAUUUCUGUGGAUAUCACAGAGGGGUGUCGAGCAGGUAGAGGAACUUAAAUGCAGAAGAACCCUCUUCCAGACACAAAAAUCGAACUGAAACAAUGAACACAGGAUAUGAAUAGACACUUUUCCCAAAGAAGCCAUACAAUUGAGCCAAAAAUCAUGGACAUAUACCCAACAUGGUUAGCUAGUUAUAGAAUGAAAAAUCAAAUCAAAAUCACAGGGAGCUCGCACUUCACAGAUCCUGGGAUGAGUAAAGUUGAAAAUUAGAGCAGACUUCUUCAUGAAGAUAUAGGGAGAUGGGAAGGACGGAUGGGAAAAUAAUCAGAGUGACUGUUAGAAACAACCUUAGCACAGUCUUCCAGAAUUAAACAUGUAGUUGUCAUAUGACACGGUAACUACAUUCCUAGUUAUUUAUUGAAGAAGAAUGAAAAUAUCUGCCCAUAAAAUACUUAUAAAUGAAAAUACCUAUUCUUGGAUUAUUAGUAAGAAGUGAAAUAUGGAAACAACCCAAAUUUCCAUUCAUCAAGAAACAGACCUACAUUCAAUCCUAUGGGCAGAUAUUCCUUGACAACAAAUGGAGAGGUUUCUGCACAGUAGGAAGAAAAACAAAGAUAAAAAACAAAAAGAGAACUCUUGAAUGGAAGAAAUAUUUGCAAUGUGUUUAUAAGUAUGUAUAAUAUCUUGAAGCUUAUACAAUUGAAUAGCAAAUAAUAGUCUAAAUUUCAAAGAUAGUAAAGGUGUUAUACAAAAGGCUUUUUUCAACAUCAAGCCUGGACACUGAAGUCUUCUGCAUUCUGGGUAUAUGUUCUACCACUGAGCUACAUCCCCAGAUAUUCUUUUCAAAGAAGCAAUACAAACAGCUGAGAGGUUUAUGAUAAAAUGCUCAACAUCAUUAAUCAUCAAGGAAACAUAAAUAAAAACCACAGGCUAUCACUUCAUACUUGUUAGGUCAAGUAUGACAGUCAGGAGAACAAGAAGAACACUUGUAGAUUGUUGGUGGGAAUUUAAAUUAUUUUGGGUAUCAUGAAUAAGUACUGUGUAGGGUUUUCAGACAUUUAAAACUACUAAGACCAUUAUCAGAAUUCUGGGUAUGUAUACAAGAAAAAUAAGAUUAUUAUCUCUAAGAGAUAUGAACACUCCCAUGCUUACUAUAGCAUUAUCCACAAUACCCAACAUAAAGAAGGAAGGUGUCCACCUAAAGACAACUGGACAAAGAAAGUGUGUGUGUGUGUCUGUGUGUCUGUGUAUGUGUGUACAUGGUACAUACACAUAUAACUUAGCCUUAAAAUGGAAAGAUGUACUGAUACCAAACUAUAUUAACCUAGAGGACAUUAGAAAUAGAAAGGCAGAAGGCAAAUGUGUACAAUCUCACUCACAGGUUGUGGUGAUUUGAAUACGUUUGGCCAGCACAGAUUCAUGUGUUUGAACACUUGGCCCAGCUCCACUGUCCUCCAUCUAGACUUGGCCAAGCCAGGGGAGGUUGGUGGUGGCCACAGGCCCAUUCCACCAUGGGCUCUUAUAGGGUGUAGACAGCUGGGGGCAGAGAAGGGGAAAGGCAAUCUUAUCUCUUCCUCCCAGACCCGUGUGCCCCAGUGCUUGCUCCUUCUCUCCUAACCCCAAUGAACAGUACCUCCUCCUUUCCCUUCCGUUCCUGGACAGGAGUCUUGGGGGCAGAGAGGGUGAGUGUGGUCCCAGUGAGCUCUCUGGUCCUCCUGUUCUGGGUCCUUCCCCCACUUGUUGGAGUGAGUGUGGCCUUGUUGGAGGAAGUGUAUAUAGAUGGACUCUGAGGUCUCCUAUGCUCAAGCUCUGCCCAGUAUAUGGCAGUCUUCUCUUUGCUGCGUUUGGAUCAAGAUGUAGAACUCUCAGCUCAAUCUCUAGCACCAGGUUGGCCUGUAUGACCAUUGCUUCCUGCAAUGUCAACAUUGGAAUGAGCCUCUAAAACUGUAAGUCAGACCCAAUAAAUGUUGUGCUUUAUAAGAAUUUCCUUUGUUAUGAUGUCUCUUCAAAGCAAAAGAAACCCUAAGACACAAGUAGAAUCUAAAAAGGUUCAACUCAGAGAAACAAAAAGUGAACCAGCAGUUCCCCAGAUUUGGAAAGUGAAGAUCUGUUCACAGGGCAUAAAAACCCAGUGAUAGGAUGACUAAAUUCUGGCCAUCUAGUUAGUAUCAAUCAUUGUUACCACAGUCAAUAAAUUAUUGUGUAUUUGAAUUUUCUUAGGAAAAUUUCCUACAAGAAAGCUAGCUAGAUAUAUCAACUUGAUUAUGGUAAUUGCUUUAUAAUGUAUACAUCAUGUCAUGUCAUCAUGUUGUAUCACACACACACACACACACACACACACACACAAUCAUUUCUGAACAAAGUUGGAGUAGAUGAAGUACUUCUACAUAGUAAAGAGGGUCAUCCAUGAAAAUUUGAAACAUCAGACUAAUAAAAUCUUAGUGGAUCACAUGACAUCAUUAAACAAUAUAGUUUAAAUAAAAGAGCUGCACAGCAUUUGAAUGAUAUUUCAAUAAAGUUGCAUUAAAAAAAAGAAGAUUUCCAUUUAGCGGCUGACACAAAGGUCCAGCUAAAAACAUUGAUAAAAGUUAGUUUUAGCCCAGCUGAGGUCAAACAUAGACGUGACUCCUUUAUUAUUCGGGUGCACUGAGCCUUAGGAUCCCUUGUUCUGAGAAUCAAAAUGUUAAUAUGUGGGAAGGUCUAGAGAACAGGGAGUUCUUCAGAAAUAUGGACAGGGUGAAAACAGGCAGCCUUUUCAGAAUCACCAUAAAUAUCAAACUGAGAGAACAGAGUGAGUUGGUUUGCUGGUGGGCACUUCCAUUAAACAAAUGGCUCCUAAAUGCCACUCUUAUGUCAAGUGAUAGGCAAGCUGACCAUUAAAGGGUCUUGGAAGCCCAGUCCAGAUGCAAGAACUUUCCUAGUUUUGCAAUGGAGGGAAACUAACCCACCAAAGUGUGUGGCAGGAAGUCAGGGGACUAAAGGCAUAAAGCAGGGCUGGGUGCCAUGGUGGCCAGCAACAACCACAAGGAUGGCAAGAAGGGGACAAUGAGGCCUGCUUUCUUGUUGCUUCCCAUGUGAACGUCCAGCCCCAGGCACAACUGACACCAUAAAAUAGUGGAUACAACCAGGGGAGAUUUACUAUGAUGCUUUAGGUAGAGAAUUAGCACUUGCCAUAAGAAGCCAGGCCUUAAAAUUAAGAAAAAAAGCUCAAAGAAAAGAGAAGGCCCAGGAGGUACAUGCUGUGCUGCAUUUUGGAAUUGCAUCACUUGUAUCUUCCACCUCAAACUUCUGGAAC